CGUGUAGGCGGACUGGAAAGUCGGGCGUGAAAGCCCCAGGCUCAACCUGGGAACUGCACUCGAAACUUCCAGCCUUGAGUGGUGGAGAGGGAAGUGGAAUUCCUGGUGUAGAGGUGAAAUUCGUAGAUAUCAGGAGGAACACCAGUGGCGAAGGCGGCUUCCUGGACACCAACUGACGCUGAGACGCGAAAGCGUGGGGAGCAAACA
rnacentral:rRNA from 1 species